AAAUCAGUUGAUGCAUACAAUAGAAAUAAGCAGUCCAUGCCAAAGGUUAUCCUCAAAUCGAAGUUCAUCACAGCAAAGUUCAUGUGAUGAUGACGUCUUCAGUAAUUCAGGUUUUACACCGCCCAACAAAGUACUGAAAAAUCCCCUGUCAACAAGUGCUCUUCUGACACUUACCCAGUCCCCAAUGCUGUACCAGGGCAAGACACCUUUAUCCAAGAGAAAGAUGAUGCAUGAUGUUGAAUCAGAGCAAAGUACGCCUAAACUGAAAA